GACGAACGCUGGCGGCGCGCCUAACACAUGCAAGUCGAACGAGCGAGAGAGAGCUUGCUUUCUCAAGCGAGUGGCGAACGGGUGAGUAACGCGUGAGGAACCUGCCUCAAAGAGGGGGACAACAGUUGGAAACGACUGCUAAUACCGCAUAAGCCCACAGCUCGGCAUCGAGCAGAGGGAAAAGGAGUGAUCCGCUUUGAGAUGGCCUCGCGUCCGAUUAGCUGGUUGGUGAGGUAACGGCCCACCAAGGCAACGAUCGGUAGCCGGACUGAGAGGUUGAACGGCCACAUUGGGACUGAGACACGGCCCAGACUCCUACGGGAGGCAGCAGUGGGGAAUAUUGCACAAUGGGGGAAACCCUGAUGCAGCGACGCCGCGUGGAGGAAGAAGGUCUUCGGAUUGUAAACUCCUGUUGUUGAGGAAGAUAAUGACGGUACUCAACAAGGAAGUGACGGCUAACUACGUGCCAGCAGCCGCGGUAAAACGUAGGUCACAAGCGUUGUCCGGAAUUACUGGGUGUAAAGGGAGCGCAGGCGGGAAAGCAAGUUGGAAGUGAAAUCCAUGGGCUCAACCCAUGAACUGCUUUCAAAACUGUUUUUCUUGAGUAGUGCAGAGGUAGGCGGAAUUCCCGGUGUAGCGGUGGAAUGCGUAGAUAUCGGGAGGAACACCAGUGGCGAAGGCGGCCUACUGGGCACCAACUGACGCUGAGGCUCGAAAGUGUGGGUAGCAAACAGG
rnacentral:rRNA from 1 species